UGAUGACGAGACGCUAAGGCGUUGAAGCAGUGUAUGUCAGACUUCCAAGAAAAGCUCGCAAUGUCACAAAUAAAAAGUGCCUGUACCAUAACCGACACAGGUGGGUAGGUAGAGUAUACUAAGGGGCGCGAGAUAACUCUCUCUAAGGAACUCGGCAAAAUGACUCCGUAACUUCGGGAGAAGGAGUGCCUUAUUUAUAAGGUUGCAAUAACAAGAUCCAAGCAACUGUUUAUCAAAAACACAGGUCUCCGCUAAGUCGUAAGACGAUGUAUGGGGGCUGACGCCUGCCCAGUGCCAGAAGGUUAAAGAAGUUGGUUAGUGUAUGCGAAGCUGAUGACUGAAGCCCUGGUGAACGGCGGCCGUAACUAUAACGGUCCUAAGGUAGCGAAAUUCCUUGUCGGGUAAGUUCCGACCCGCACGAAAGGCGUAAUGAUUUGGAUACUGUCUCGGAGAGAGGCUCGGUGAAAUAGACUUGUCUGUGAAGAUGCGGACUACCUGCACCAGGACAGAAAGACCCUAUGAAGCUUUACUGUAACUUGAAAUUGGAAUUGGACUUUGCUUGCGCAGUAUAGGUGGGAAGCGUUGAAAAUAUUCUUGCGGGAGUAUUGGAGCUAUCAGUGAGAUACCACUCUUGUAAUGUUAGAUUUCUAACUUUGAACCAUAAUCUGGUCAAAGAACAGUUUCAGGUGGGCAGUUUGACUGGGGCGGUCGCCUCCCAAAUGGUAACGGAGGCGUACAAAGGUUUCCUCUGAACGGAUAGAAAUCGUAUCUAGAGUGUAAAGGCAUAAGGAAGCUUGACUGUGAGACCUACAAGUCGAGCAGGGACGAAAGUCGGUCUUAGUGAUCUGACGGUACUGAGUGGAAAGGCCGUCACUCAACGGAUAAAAGUUACUCUAAGGAUAGCAGGCUGAUCUCCCCCAAGAGUUCACAUCGACGGGGAGGUUUGGCACCUCGAUGUCGGCUCAUCGCAUCCUGGGGCGGUAGUACGUCCCAAGGGUUGGGCUGUUCGCCCAUGAAAGCGGUACGCGAGCUGGGUUCAGAACGUCGUGAGACAGUUCGGUCCAUAUCCGGUGUAGGCGCUAGAAUAUUGAGAGGAGCCUUCUUUAGUACGAGAGGACCGAGAAGGACACACCGCUGGUGUACCAGUUAUCGUGCCAACGGUAAACGCUGGGUAGCUAUGUGUGGAGUGGAUAACCGCUGAAAGCAUCUAAGUGGGAAGCCCACCUCGAGAUGAGUAUUCCC
rnacentral:rRNA from 1 species